CAAGACGAGGAUAACAGUUGGAAACGACUGAUAAUACUGGAUAGUAAACGAAACCGCAUGAUUUUGUUUUUAAAGUUCCCCCAAAGGAACACUUGAGGAGAGGCCUAUAUCGCAGUUAGCGUAGUUGGGUGAGGUAACGGCCCACCAAGGCGACGAUGCGUAACUGUGCUGAGAGGCAAAACAGUCACAUUGGAACUUAGGACCACGGUCCAAACUCCUACGGGAGGCAGCAGUAGGGAAUUUUCGGCAAUGGGGGAAACCCUGACCGAGCAAUGCCGCGUGAAUGAUGAAGAUCCUUCGGAUUGUAAAAUUCUGUUGUUAGGAAUGAAUUACAUUACUAGGAAAUGAGUAGUGCUUGACAGUACCUGACUAGAAAGCCCCGGCUAACUAUGUGCCAGCCGCAGC
rnacentral:rRNA from 1 species